GUGCUAAGAAAACUGCCCCACAUCAUCUGCAGUAGGACCGGGGAAGCUGGAGCCCUGGUCAGGCCACUCUGCUACUGACCAGUUUUCUCAUCUCUAAAAAGGCGCAGUAACAAUAUAAUUACCGUAUGGAGUCCCCCAGGAUACAGGGUCAAAGGAGAGCACAACCAUCGCAGUUUGAAGCUCAUGGGGCAGCCCAGUGCAGAUGCAUCUGACUUAUGAAACUUCAGUGACACCUGCUCUGUGCCAGACACCGAAGAUGGAGCAGUGAACAGCGCUGACCCAGCCUGUCCUCCUGUUGCCUGCAGGCCAGAUGGAGUCUCGCUUGUCACCAGGCUGGAGUACAGUGGCGUGAUCUCAGCUCACUGCAACCUCCGCCUCCCAGGUUCAAGCGAUUCUCCUGCCUCAGCCUCCCAAGUAGCUUGGAUUACAGAUGUGUGCCACCACGCCCUGUUAAUUUUUUUUUGUUUGUUUUGUUUUGUUUUUUGUUUUUUGUUUUUGAGAUGGAGUCUUGCUCUGUCGCCCAGGCUGGAGUGCAGUGGCCCUGAUCUCGGCUCACCGCAAGCUCCACCUCCCGGGUUCACGCCAUUCUCCUCCCUCAGCCUCCCAAGUAGCUGGGACUACAGGCGCCCACCACACCCAGCUAAUUUUUUAUAUAUUUUUUAGUAGAGACAGGGUUUCACUGUAUUAGCCAGGAUGGUCUCGAUCUCCUGACCUCGUGAUCCGCCUGCCUUGGCCUCCCAAAGUGCUGGGAUUACAGGCGUGAGCCACCACGCCCGGCCAAUUUUUGUAUUUUUAGUAGAGACAGGGUUUUACCAUGUUGGCCAGGCUGGUGUCGAACUCCCGACCUCAGGUGAUUGUCAGCCUCGGCCUCCCAAAGUGCUGGGAUUACAGGCGUGAGCCACCGCGCCCGGCCGAUGGGCAGCCAGGUGUGCUCCGGGAGGAGGAGGACACCCUGGAAAGACAGUGGGGCCAGACACUGAACUGCCUUUGGAAGCAAGUAGGAGCAACAGCGAAGGUUUGCUGGCUCAGAAGCAAGGUCUCGCUGUGUUACCCGGGCUGGAGUGCAGUGGCUACUUACAGACAUGAUCAUAGCAUACUGCAGCCUCGAACUCCUGGACUAAAGCAGUUCUCCUGCCUCAGCCUCCAGAGCAGCUGGGACUGCAGACAUGCACCACAGAGCCCAGCCUGAGUCAUUUUGAUUCUGUAACUGGUGUCCUCUCGGCGGGCUGGCUCACACCCUCCACCACCAGCUGGAGAUGGAAGGAGGAUGCUCACUGUUCAUUCCUCAUGCAGGCCAUCGAUGGAAAUGUCAGACAGUGCGAGUCCACACCUGAACAGUUCUGGGGUCCGCUCUGGGACUGACACUGGCAGAUCCAUCGAUGCUGUUCCAUUGUUUGCUGACUUGCAUCGUUUCUAUGAGAAGUCUGCAGUCUUUUGCAGCAUUGUUUUCCUAUGUAUGCUUGUCUCCUCCCACCCCACUCACCCCAGCUGCUUUCCACAUUCUCUCUCUUUAAUUUUCAGCAGUCUGCCCAUGAUGUGCCUAAAUAGGACUUUCUUUGCAUUCAUCCUGGCUGGGGCUCACUGAACUUUCUGAAUCUGUAGAUUAAUUUUCUUUUUUCAAUAAACCUU
rnacentral:lncRNA from 1 species